CCUAUAAGACUGGGAUAACUUCGGGAAACCGGAGGCUAAUACCGGAUAGGAGCUCCUGCUGCAUGGUGGGGGUUGGAAAGUUUCGGCGGUUGGGGAUGGACUCGCGGCUUAUCAGCUUGUUGGUGGGGUAGUGGCUUACCAAGGCUUUGACGGGUAGCCGGCCUGAGAGGGUGACCGGCCACAUUGGGACUGAGAUACGGCCCAG
rnacentral:rRNA from 1 species